rnacentral:rRNA from 1 species
CCUACGGGAGGCAGCAGUGAGGAAUAUUGGUCAAUGGGCGCGAGCCUGAACCAGCCAAGUAGCGUGAAGGAUGACUGCCCUACGGGUUGUAAACUUCUUUUAUAAAGGAAUAAAGUGAGGCACGUGUGCCGUGUUGUAUGUACUGUAUGAAUAAGGAUCGGCUAACUCCGUGCCAGCAGCCGCGGUAAUACGGAGGAUCCGAGCGUUAUCCGGAUUUAUUGGGUUUAAAGGGAGCGUAGAUGGGUUGUUAAGUCAGUGGUGAAAGUUUGCGGCUCAACCGUAAAAUUGCAAUUGAUACUGGCAGUCUUGAGUACAGUUGACGUAGGCGGAAUUCGUUGUGUAGCGG